AUUUAGUCAUCACUUUGUUCUAGCAGUAAACUCAUCUGCUGUCUUUGGCAUUGCCCUCAUUCUUCUCGUCUUUCUUUAUUAGUUCAGUCUCUGCAGCACGUCUGCAUGAUCCAGUCACAGCUCUGUUAUGGCGAAUGUUCAAGCCAGGAUUCUUCAUCUGGAUCUCUCUAUCAUCAUUAUUUUCCUGAUUCAUGCAGAUUAUUCAAUAUCCAAUCAAGAGCCAAUGAUUAAGCAGCACAUCAACAAAACAGUGUUUGCGGGGGAAACAGUUACACUUCACUGCAACAAAACCAAAUAUGAUGAUGAUUUCACAUGGAAAAUGAACAGCUUCGUUAUUUUUAGGCAUGACUCUGAAAGUAACAGAACAAUGAGAAACUUCAGCUCAGACAGGAUUCACAUCGACCCAGCAGCUCCAAGAGAGUUAACAAUACAACAAAUACAAGCGUCAGGAAACUACAGCUGUUACCCAGCAGCAAUAAGAUGGACAUUAACAAUAACAGUAAACACAACCAGACCAGAAUCCCUCAAACAAAUGCCGCUGUACAUCAUCAUCAUCAUCAUCAUCAUCAUAUUCAUCUGUCUGAUCAUCACCAUCAGCAUCUGCAU